rnacentral:lncRNA from 1 species
AAGGUCACGGAGAUCAUUACGUAAAAAAGAUAAAACUUUCAUGCACUGGUGUAGAGGUUGGGUGAGAACGACACGUGUUGCAACAUUAUCAAGUAGGUCUACAAUUGCCGCAAGGCUUGAGUUGAGAGGUAAGGGUGAGAAAAAGUCGUAUAAAAGGAGAGAGAAAAGGCCACAGAGUUCAGUCGAGUGAACGUCUACGACACGGCAACAACUGCAGCGCACCAGAUGACUUCUUCAUCUCAUUAUCAGUUCGCAAUCAUGGUUAACUAUGACGCCGUGCUGCAGUUGGGUGUUGCAUCGUUGAUGUCGACCACGAGAGAAAAUCAUACUGCAACAUACUCUGCUCCAUCUUAAAACACGGUCAACUGUGGGUCGUGCUGCUUCUCUUGGGUGUUUGUAUCGUUGAUGGCUGGGGCGACCACGGAGUACCGAUGUCUUUGAGUAUGGUGGAUACGAAACAGCAACGCCGCCGCCUUACUACACAACAAAGUCAAUAUACGCAACGUCUAGUUACUACACCGAGGCUCUCAAGUACUACACCGAGUUGUCUGCCCCAGCCUACUACACCGACGCUCUCAAGUACUACUCUUCAAGCUACUACAAAACUGAGGCUACUGUUUACUACACUAAGGCCACCGAGUAUUACGCUACAACCACAUGUUAACUAUGGCGUCGUUCUGCUGUUGAUUGUUGUAUCCUUGAUGAUUGGGUCGACAACGGGUGUACCGAUGUCUCGUGGGUAUGGCGGAUACCAACCCGCAAUGUCGCCGUCUUACUGCACGACAAAAAAAUACGCAACAACCGAAUACUACACCGCCAAUGCCCCAGAGUAGUACACAACAACUUAUGAUGUCCUGAACUACUACACCAAAGCCCCAAAAAAUAACUGCCCGAUUUACCACACGAAGGGAGCGGAGUACUACACCACGAAGGGAGCGGAGUACUACACCACGAUGGGAGCGGAGUACUACACCACAAACAACGCAACUUGCUACAUGGAGGUGUCUGUUGGUGUUGGACUUCUUCAAGGCCAGUAUCCUGCGCUGUGAUAUGUCUGUUUCAUAUUUUGGAGAUGACUAUUGCCUUAGUCGAUCUUCAUACGGACAUGUUCUUGUGUUUUGACGAUGUUACAAGGGUAGUUUACGAAAGAAACUUGUAACUGUUGAUUUUGAUAAGUCUUAUAAGUAAAAGGCAAGUGGAU